rnacentral:rRNA from 1 species
CUUAAGGGGCUUGCUCCUUAAGUUAGUGGCGAACGGGUGAGUAAUAUAUCGGAACGUAUCCAAUAAUGGGGGAUAACUAAUCGAAAGGUUGGCUAAUACCGCAUACGCCCUACGGGGGAAAGCAGGGGAUCUUCGGACCUUGCGUUAAUGGAGCGGCCGAUAUCUGAUUAGCUAGUUGGUGGGGUAAAGGCCCACCAAGGCGACGAUCAGUAGCUGGUCUGAGAGGACGACCAGCCACACUGGAACUGAGACACGGUCCAGACUCCUACGGGAGGCAGCAGUGGGGAAUUUUGGACAAUGGGCGAAAGCCUGAUCCAGCCAUUCCGCGUGAGUGAAGAAGGCCUUCGGGUUGUAAAGCUCUUUCGCAAGGAAAGAAAACUUACUUACUAAUACUAGGUGAGGAUGACGGUACCUUGAUAAGAAGCACCGGCUAACUACGUGCCAGCAGCCGCGGUAAUACGUAGGGUGCGAGCGUUAAUCGGAAUUACUGGGCGUAAAGCGUGCGCAGGCUGUUUUGUAAGUCAGAUGUGAAAUCCCUGGGCUCAACCUAGGAACUGCGUUUGAAACUACAAGGCUAGAGUGUAGCAGAGGGGGGUAGAAUUCCACGUGUAGCAGUGAAAUGCGUAGAGAUGUGGAGGAAUACCAAUGGCGAAGGCAGCCCCCUGGGUUAACACUGACGCUCAUGCACGAAAGCGUGGGGAGCAAACAGGAUUAGAUACCCUGGUAGUCCACGCCCUAAACGAUGUCUACUAGUUGUUGGGAGAGUAAAAUCUCUUAGUAACGCAGCUAACGCGUGAAGUAGACCGCCUGGGGAGUACGGUCGCAAGAUUAAAACUCAAAGGAAUUGACAGGGACCCGCACAAGCGGUGGAUGAUGUGGAUU